CCUACGGGGGGCAGCAGUGAGGAAUAUUGGUCAAUGGACGAGAGUCUGAACCAGCCAAGUAGCGUGAAGGAUGACUGCCCUAUGGGUUGUAAACUUCUUUUAUAAAGGAAUAAAACGAGGCACGUGUGCCUUUUUGCAUGUACUUUAUGAAUAAGGAUCGGCUAACUCCGUGCCAGCAGCCGCGGUAAUACGGAGGAUCCGAGCGUUAUCCGGAUUUAUUGGGUUUAAAGGGAGCGUAGAUGGGUUGUUAAGUCAGUUGUGAAAGUUUGCGGCUCAACCGUAAAAUUGCAAUUGAUACUGGCAGUCGUGAGUACAGUUGAGGUAGGCGGAAUUCGUGGUGGAGCGGUGAAAUGCUUAGAUAUCACGAAGAACCCCGAUUGCGAAGGCAGCUUACUAAACUGUGACUGACAUUGAUGCUCGAAAGUGUGGGUAUCAAACAGGAUUAGAUACCCGGGUAGUC
rnacentral:rRNA from 1 species